rnacentral:rRNA from 1 species
UACGAAGGGGGCUAGCGUUGGUCGGAAUUACUGGGCGUAAAGGGCGCGUAGGCGGUACUUCAAGUCAGGCGUGAAAGCCCCGGGCUCAACCUGGGAACCGCGCUUGAGACUGGAGAACUAGAGUUCGGGAGAGGAUGGUGGAAUUCCCAGUGUAGAGGUGAAAUUCGUAGAUAUUGGGAAGAACACCGAUGGCGAAGGCAGCCAUCUGGACCGACACUGACGCUGAGGCGCGAAAGCUAGGGGAGCGAACAGG